rnacentral:tRNA from 1 species
GCGGGGGUUGCAGAGCUUGGCCAAACCAUGCGCAACAGGGACUAUAUGCGCGGGACUCAAGAUCCCGUCCCGAAGGGGUUCGUGGGUUCGAAUCCCACCCCCCGCACCA